rnacentral:rRNA from 1 species
GCCUGGCGGCGUGCCUAUACAUGCAAGUCGAGCGGACAGAAGGGAGCUUGCUCCCGGAUGUUAGCGGCGGACGGGUGAGUAACACGUGGGUAACCUGCCUGUAAGACUGGGAUAACUCCGGGAAACCGGAGCUAAUACCGGAUAGUUCCUUGAACCGCAUGGUUCAAGGAUGAAAGACGGUUUCGGCUGUCACUUACAGAUGGACCCGCGGCGCAUUAGCUAGUUGGUGAGGUAACGGCUCACCAAGGCGACGAUGCGUAGCCGACCUGAGAGGGUGAUCGGCCACACUGGGACUGAGACACGGCCCAGACUCCUACGGGAGGCAGCAGUAGGGAAUCUUCCGCAAUGGACGAAAGUCUGACGGAGCAACGCCGCGUGAGUGAUGAAGGUUUUCGGAUCGUAAAGCUCUGUUGUUAGGGAAGAACAAGUGCAAGAGUAACUGCUUGCACCUUGACGGUACCUAACCAGAAAGCCACGGCUAACUACGUGCCAGCAGCCGCGGUAAUACGUAGGUGGCAAGCGUUGUCCGGAAUUAUUGGGCGUAAAGGGCUCGCAGGCGGUUUCUUAAGUCUGAUGUGAAAGCCCCCGGCUCAACCGGGGAGGGUCAUUGGAAACUGGGAAACUUGAGUGCAGAAGAGGAGAGUGGAAUUCCACGUGUAGCGGUGAAAUGCGUAGAGAUGUGGAGGAACACCAGUGGCGAAGGCGACUCUCUGGUCUGUAACUGACGCUGAGGAGCGAAAGCGUGGGGAGCGAACAGGAUUAGAUACCCUGGUAGUCCACGCCGUAAACGAUGAGUGCUAAGUGUUAGGGGGUUUCCGCCCCUUAGUGCUGCAGCUAACGCAUUAAGCACUCCGCCUGGGGAGUACGGUCGCAAGACUGAAACUCAAAGGAAUUGACGGGGGCCCGCACAAGCGGUGGAGCAUGUGGUUUAAUUCGAAGCAACGCGAAGAACCUUACCAGGUCUUGACAUCCUCUGACAACCCUAGAGAUAGGGCUUUCCCUUCGGGGACAGAGUGACAGGUGGUGCAUGGUUGUCGUCAGCUCGUGUCGUGAGAUGUUGGGUUAAGUCCCGCAACGAGCGCAACCCUUGAUCUUAGUUGCCAGCAUUCAGUUGGGCACUCUAAGGUGACUGCCGGUGACAAACCGGAGGAAGGUGGGGAUGACGUCAAAUCAUCAUGCCCCUUAUGACCUGGGCUACACACGUGCUACAAUGGACAGA